rnacentral:rRNA from 1 species
GUUAAGCGACUAAGCGUACACGGUGGAUGCCCUGGCAGUCAGAGGCGAUGAAGGACGUGCUAAUCUGCGAUAAGCGUCGGUAAGGUGAUAUGAACCGUUAUAACCGGCGAUUUCCGAAUGGGGAAACCCAGUGUGUUUCGACACACUAUCAUUAACUGAAUCCAUAGGUUAAUGAGGCGAACCGGGGGAACUGAAACAUCUAAGUACCCCGAGGAAAAGAAAUCAACCGAGAUUCCCCCAGUAGCGGCGAGCGAACGGGGAGCAGCCCAGAGCCUGAAUCAGUGUGUGUGUUAGUGGAAGCGUCUGGAAAGGCGCGCGAUACAGGGUGACAGCCCCGUACACAAAAAUGCACAUGCUGUGAGCUCGAUGAGUAGGGCGGGACACGUGGUAUCCUGUCUGAAUAUGGGGGGACCAUCCUCCAAGGCUAAAUACUCCUGACUGACCGAUAGUGAACCAGUACCGUGAGGGAAAGGCGAAAAGAACCCCGGCGAGGGGAGUGAAAAAGAACCUGAAACCGUGUACGUACAAGCAGUGGGAGCACGCUUAGGCGUGUGACUGCGUACCUUUUGUAUAAUGGGUCAGCGACUUAUAUUCUGUAGCAAGGUUAACCGAAUAGGGGAGCCGAAGGGAAACCGAGUCUUAACUGGGCGUUAAGUUGCAGGGUAUAGACCCGAAACCCGGUGAUCUAGCCAUGGGCAGGUUGAAGGUUGGGUAACACUAACUGGAGGACCGAACCGACUAAUGUUGAAAAAUUAGCGGAUGACUUGUGGCUGGGGGUGAAAGGCCAAUCAAACCGGGAGAUAGCUGGUUCUCCCCGAAAGCUAUUUAGG